rnacentral:rRNA from 1 species
GGGGAUAACACUUAGAAAUAGGUGCUAAUACCGCAUAAGCGCACGGAGCUGCAUGGCUCAGUGUGAAAAACUCCGGUGGUGCAAGAUGGACCCGCGUCUGAUUAGCUUGUUGGCGGGGUAACGGCCCACCAAGGCGACGAUCAGUAGCCGGCCUGAGAGGGUGGACGGCCACAUUGGGACUGAGACACGGCCCAAACUCCUACGGGAGGCAGCAGUGGGGAAUAUUGGACAAUGGGGGGAACCCUGAUCCAGCGACGCCGCGUGAGUGAAGAAGUAUCUCGGUAUGUAAAGCUCUAUCAGCAGGGAAGAAAGAAAUGACGGUACCUGACCAAGAAGCCCCGGCUAACUACGUGCCAGCAGCCGCGGUAAUACGUAGGGGGCAAGCGUUAUCCGGAUUUACUGGGUGUAAAGGGAGCGUAGACGGUAAUGCAAGUCUGGAGUGAAAUGCAGGGGCUCAACCCCUGAACUGCUUUGGAAACUGUAUGACUGGAGUGCAGGAGAGGUAAGUGGAAUUCCUAGUGUAGCGGUGAAAUGCGUAGAUAUUAGGAGGAACACCAGUGGCGAAGGCGGCUUACUGGACUGUAACUGACGUUGAGGCUCGAAAGCGUGGGGAGCAAACAGGAUUAGAUACCCUGGUAGUCCACGCCGUAAACGAUCAU